rnacentral:rRNA from 1 species
GAUGAACGCUGGCGGCGUGCCUAAUACAUGCAAGUCGAGCGAACAGACGAGGAGCUUGCUCCUCUGACGUUAGCGGCGGACGGGUGAUUAACACGUGGAUAACCUACCUAUAAGACUGGGAUAACUUCGGGAAACCGGAGCUAAUACCGGAUAAUAUAUUGAACCGCAUGGUUCAAUAGUGAAAGACGGUUUUGCUGUCACUUAUAGAUGGAUCCGCGCCGCAUUAGCUAGUUGGUAAGGUAACGGCUUACCAAGGCGACGAUGCGUAGCCGACCUGAGAGGGUGAUCGGCCACACUGGAACUGAGACACGGUCCAGACUCCUACGGGAGGCAGCAGUAGGGAAUCUUCCGCAAUGGGCGAAAGCCUGACGGAGCAACGCCGCGUGAGUGAUGAAGGUCUUCGGAUCGUAAAACUCUGUUAUUAGGGAAGAACAAAUGUGUAAGUAACUAUGCACGUCUUGACGGUACCUAAUCAGAAAGCAACGGCUAACUACGUG